rnacentral:misc_RNA from 1 species
GAAAUGCGAUAAGUAAUGUGAAUUGCAGAAUUCAGUGAAUCAUCGAAUCUUUGAACGCACCUUGCGCUCCUUGGUAUUCCUUGGAGCAUGCCUGUUUGAGUAUCAUGAAAUCUUCAAAGUAAAUCUUUUGUUAACUCAAUUGGUUUCUACUUUGGUAUUGGAGGUCUUUGCAGCUUCACACCUGCUCCUCUUUGUUCAUUAGCUGGAUCUCAGUGUUAUGCUUGGUUCCACUCGGCGUGAUAAGUUAUCUAUCGCUGAGGACACUGUAAAAGGUGGCCAAGGUAAAUGCAGAUGAACCGCUUCUAGUAGUCCAUUGACUUGGACAAUACUUUUAUGAUCUGGUCUCAAAUCAGGUAGGACUACCCGCUGAACUUAAGCA